GAGAGCAGAGAGAGAGAGAGAGAGAGAGACAGAGGGAGAGACAGAGAGAGAGGGAGAGAGAGAGAGAAGGGGCGUUUCACAACCGGCUGUAAGUUUAGUUGCAGCAGGGAGUAGCGUGUUAUGGCGACGCGCCCGGUUCCGUGACACCGGACCAAUCAGAUUGCGCGAAUCCGAAAGUUUACCUUUUAUGGCUCGAGCCGGGCAUCUAACCGGGAGAUAAAAACCACGCGCUCACCGACUACCGGUUCACUUUGAGGCGCCGUCACACGCAGUUCGUGCGGGAUUAUAUCAUUUACCCUUGAAACACCCCCCUCCCAAAACCAAAAGUUCAAAAUGGAAGAUGAAAUCGCCGCACUGGUUGUUGACAACGGAUCCGGUAU